rnacentral:rRNA from 1 species
GAUGAACGCUGGCGGCGUGCCUAAUACAUGCAAGUCGAGCGAACGGACGAGAAGCUUGCUUCUCUGAUGUUAGCGGCGGACGGGUGAGUAACACGUGGAUAACCUACCUAUAAGACUGGGAUAACUUCGGGAAACCGGAGCUAAUACCGGAUAAUAUUUUGAACCGCAUGGUUCAAAAGUGAAAGACGGUCUUGCUGUCACUUAUAGAUGGAUCCGCGCUGCAUUAGCUAGUUGGUAAGGUAAUGGCUUACCAAGGCAACGAUGCAUAGCCGACCUGAGAGGGUGAUCGGCCACACUGGAACUGAGACACGGUCCAGACUCCUACGGGAGGCAGCAGUAGGGAAUCUUCCGCAAUGGGCGAAAGCCUGACGGAGCAACGCCGCGUGAGUGAUGAAGGUCUUCGGAUCGUAAAACUCUGUUAUUAGGGAAGAACAUAUGUGUAAGUAACUGUGCACAUCUUGACGGUACCUAAUCAGAAAGCCACGGCUAACUAC